rnacentral:lncRNA from 1 species
AGGCACAGAUCACUCCGCCGGAUCAACAAUACUUGCUGCUUCCUUCCUUCGUCUCCGGCCGGCUCUCUGCGGUGCUCGACGACUAGCAGUCUGAGGCGGUGACAUCGCCAAAGGUACUCUUCCUCCGCUUCUGUUCGAUUCUUUUGUUUCAGCUAGCUCUCUUCGGCCUUUUCCCAUUCUUUGUGGUUUUGAUGUGGAUCCUUGAUGUGCAGAGUUCAAUCUGUUCAACACUCGCUCAGCAAAGGGAAUUGCGAACCGGAGGUGAAGAGCUGCUGUUCCGUGUUGAUCGCCCCAAUCGAGGUGAUGCUUUUGCUCAUCAUGAGGACGACUUUCUUUUCCCAUUCAAGUCGUGUGUGUAGAUAUCGAGGGCAGGAGAGGUCCAACUUUUGCUCGAUCUGUUCUCCCCUCUCGUUGAUCUCUUGUUGCUAUGGCGGAGCUACCAGUAAAUAGCUCAACCAUAUUUAACAUAAAGUAAAAAAAAGGGUUAAAUUCUGAAUCGUACUACUUUAAUAGGGCAUGUUGUCGAGGUUGGGUACUCGAUUGUUCGCUGCAACGCUCCUUCCGGUACAUCUAAAUUGCUAUGUCCACCGUAUUCAGACUUUUGUUUUUUACUUUUGCUAACUUUGGGGAAGCAACACCAAGCAACGCACUUAUCCCAGUAGUUUUUCUAAUUCUGUCAAAACAGUUAACAUGAUUUUUAACCACAGAAAAAAUAGGAAACAUGAUUUUGAGGCUGCAUGUAAUGAGAGUAUCAUAGAUAGUAUCAUGCAUGUCAACAAAGCAAUUUUGAGGAGGUGACAUUGAAUUAAAUUAAGAAAAAAAAAGUUAACUAUCAUAUCAUAAUACCGUAUCAUAAUUAAAUUAAGAAAAAGAAAAUUAAAUUUUAUAGGGCUUAUCUUAAAUUUUCCUUUUUAUUGAUUUAAAGGGCUAAUUAAAUUAAGAAAAAGAAAAUUAAAUUUUAUAGGGCUUAUCUUAAAUUUUCCUUUUUAUUGAUUUAAAGGGCUCAUCUCCAUCUUCUAUUGAGAUUCCGAGGCGCGUUAAAUAUUUGCAUACAAGAAUUAAAAAGAAACUCACCAAUGCAUGUAAUGUUCCUACUCAUCUAGUGGCCAAGCAUGCAUGCAUUAUAAUCUAAAUUAAUGCAUCAGUUUAAUUUGGGCAAUUUUAUAAAAUACGAUACAUUUUUCCAUCAUCAUCUGCCUUGGUUGAUGAGAUUUUACAUUUGAGCUCUAUAAACCGAAAAGAAGAGAGUAUGUAUCUUGUAUAACAAUAAAUAAAUUCAUCCAUGAAACUAGUCUAUGAUACCAUGCAUACAAAGUUAUUCUUUCCGUCCGGUUUUAUUAGACCCCCAACCAAAUCACAGGUACCCAUGCAAGGUGAUUAAUCCCUGGAAGCAUGCAGCCAUUUAAUUUCCUGACACUUUGGAAGCCGGCCCAGCUCACACGCACGAUGAUGCUGCUACUUUGUGGCGGCCUCGGAUGCCGCACGGUGCAUGCAUAUGCCAAUCGAAGGAGGACUAGAAGUGCAUGCGUUGGUUGGCUAGCCGUGGUGUUGUGCUAGGAGUAGUACUAGUCGCUCAUGUAUAAGGUCAUGUUUGUUUCAUAAGUCCUAGAACUUUUUUAAUUUCGAACUUAUAAGUCCUGAGUCCUUAUCUGUUUGUUUACUGGGACUUAUUAUGGGCUAGAGGUUAUUAAAUGACAUGCAAAUCAUCACUAUAAGUUUCUAUAAGUUCCUCCCUGAGAGUCUUUUUUGAUAAGUCCCAAAUCAUCACAAGUCCCUCAUGUUCAGUUUAGAUGGCACUUAUAGGGAAUUUUUUAAGUCCCAAAACCAAUAAGUCCCUGGAAACAAACACCCUCUAAGACUAGGUAUAGUGGGAGUAACUUAGAUAGUAACACACUCAUCAAUGUAUAAGGCUAGUCAUAGUGGGAGUAACUUAAAUAUAAACUGACACAUUCAUCUGUAAUCAUGAUUCUGUAAAGUUUGUUUAUAGGUGUAGCAUCUCUCAUAAAAAAACACUCCAUUGUUUUCCCCGCACGCCAAAC